rnacentral:misc_RNA from 1 species
UCAACCAUCAAGCCCGGCUUGCCGUUGGGCCCGCCUGUAGAGGCGGGCCCCAAAGACAGUGGCGGGGCGGUCGGACCCUCGGCGCAACGAGCUUCACACAGCACGCGUCGACGGGUGUGGCCCCCUUUGCCUCCCAUUUUACUUCAA